rnacentral:rRNA from 1 species
UGCGUAGGUGGCGUGUUAAGUCAGAUGUGAAAGCCCGGGGCUCAACCUCGGAACUGCAUCCGAUACUACCAUGCUAGAGUACUGAAGAGGAAACUAGAAUUCUCGGUGUAGCAGUGAAAUGCGUAGAUAUCGAGAGGAAUACCAGAGGCGAAGGCAGGUUUCUUGGCAGUUACUGACACUGAGGCGCGAAAGCGUGGGGAGCAAACAGGAUUAGAUACCCCUGUA